GAGGAGUCAGAAGGACGGAGGGUGGUGGGACAGGCGCCAAGGCUGGCAGGCUUGGAUGUCGUUAGAUCUCACGAGUCCACUGUGUGUUGUGUCACUGAUUCUAAGGUUCCCGUGAGGGCUGUUUUCUUCAUUGUACAUUCUCACGUGGGAGCUUGGCACUCACGGGUAGCGCGCAGGUGUUUUACUCAGUUUGAUGUUGGGAAACUGAUUGGGUUCUGGGAACUUUUAGGAGAAGAGUAAGUUCUGGACAACAGCAGACUGACCACAGUUAGGGCCUCGGGCUGGGGCUGGAUUGAACAUAGAGAUUGUCAUAAAAAGUAGUAUCAAAGGGAGUUGAAAGUUCUGCAUUUCUUCUAAAAUCAUAUGGCCUGGGGCACCUGGGUGGCUCAAUCGGUUAAGCUUUCAGCUCAGAUCAGGAUCCCAGGGUCUGGGAUGGAGCCCCACAUCUGGCUCCCAGCUCAGUGGGGAGUCUGCUUCUCCUUCUGCCUCUACCCCUGUCCCCACGUGUGUCCACUCACAUUCUCUCACUCUCAAAUGAAUACAUAAAAUCUUUAAAAUCAUGACCUAACUUCAGCUCUUAGGGGUAAGUCAAAAUAUCUUGGAAUAAAUGAGCAUCUUAGAUGAUCCAAGGAACCAGACAUGGAAGGGAAAACAGGAAGUUUUGCAGCAACACUUAAGAAAGGUCACGUCCAUAUAAGAAUAUGAGCAGACAUUUUGUCUUCAGGUACCUAAGGAUAUUGUCAGGAAGAAAGAACCACAUCACAGUUUGAGAGUUCCUGCCCCACCCAGGUUACGUAUGCACUGAACACAAUUUCAUGAGAAGACCCUCUGUGGGCACAACUUCCCCAGGUUAUCAGAUGACAAAUGCCUCCCGAUACAAGCCUUAUGCCCUACAAAGAUCGCUCUGCCAUGUCCUCGGGACAGUCUUUCGUGCAUCCAGAACACGUUAAAAUGUUACAACUUCAAGAAAGCAGCGGACCUCUCACCUUUCAGUGAGUUGUGCUAGAAGCUGCUCUCCUCCAGCAGUGAGGGGCGCCCUGCCAAGCUCCUUCCCAGAACUAGGCUUGAGCAUCUCAGCAAGCAAACCUCCGUGGCUUUGACCUGCGUCUGUGAGCAUCUCUGCUUUGUCUCCAUUCACAACGUGCAUCUGUCAGCAAGAUGUGUCCUAAGGUUGCGAAAGAUUUCACAGGAAAGCUCUAGUUUCAGAUACCAGGGGAAUGGGCAAUUUCCCCUAUGCUGAGCCUCCCUAUGGAGAAAGUAUCCGUGACCAUGAAGAUAACAAUAGAGGAAAGCAGAGCUGAGAAAUGGAGAGAAACUGAGUCCUCAUUUUAACUUGGCAGGCAGCCACACCUGGACACUUUUCAUUUUCAUGCGUCAAUAAAUGUCCUUUUUGGCCUUAAACCCAUGUGAGGUAGGGUUGCUGGCAUUCACUUGAAAUAAUUCUAAUUUUAAAAAAUUUCCAGAAGCAGAAUUGCAUCAUCCAAUUGCUUUCCCCAGAAGCUAUAUCAAAUACUUCACCACCAUCAAAGGUGUUCCAGUGCUUCUUCCGUUGCAUUUCAGCAUUAAAUGUUGUUACUCUGAGGAUCUUUGUCUAUUUGAUCUUAAGUUUUGUGUUUAUGUAACUACUAGUGAAAUAAAACUUGUACUAUUUAACAAA